rnacentral:rRNA from 1 species
CGAGUUGAUCCUGGCUCAGAUUGAACGCUGGCGGAAUGCUUUACACAUGCAAGUCGAACGGUAGAGGGGGCAACCCUUGAGAGUGGCGAACGGGUGAGUAAUAUAUCGGAACGUGCCCAGUCGUGGGGGAUAACGUAGCGAAAGCUACGCUAAUACCGCAUACGAUCUAUGGAUGAAAGCGGGGGAUCGCAAGACCUCGCGCGAUUGGAGCGGCCGAUAUCAGAUUAGGUAGUUGGUGAGGUAAAGGCUCACCAAGCCGACGAUCUGUAGCUGGUCUGAGAGGACGACCAGCCACACUGGGACUGAGACACGGCCCAGACUCCUACGGGAGGCAGCAGUGGGGAAUUUUGGACAAUGGGCGCAAGCCUGAUCCAGCAAUGCCGCGUGCAGGAUGAAGGCCUUCGGGUUGUAAACUGCUUUUGUACGGAACGAAACGGUAAGCUCUAAUACAGUUUGCUAAUGACGGUACCGUAAGAAUAAGCACCGGCUAACUACGUG